CUGCACUGAGAGUGCAGCAGCACUGAGCUACCUGGACAUAGCAUGGCUCAGCCGCGGCUCCAGGUGCUCGCCGCCGCCGUGGCCCUGACCCUGGCGCUGGUGGCCGGCGGCGGCGGCGCGUUCGAGUUCCAGGAGGCCACCGUGGACGCCAUUCAGCUGGGGUUCAGGAACGGCAGCCUCACCUCGGCGGCGCUCGUCCGGUUCUACCUGGACCGGAUCGCCCGCCUCAACCCGCUACUCCGCGCCGUCAUCGAGGUCAACCCGGACACGCUCGCGCAGGCGGCGCGCGCCGACGCCGAGCGCUCGGCAUCGGGGGGCCGCUGCGCCGCGGGGCUGCACGGCGUCCCCGUCCUGCUCAAGGACAACAUCGCCACGCGCGACCGCCUCAACACCACGGCCGGCUCCCUCGCGCUGCUCGGCUCCGUGGUCCGCCGCGACGCCGGCGUGGCAGCCCGCCUCCGCCGCGCCGGCGCCGUCAUCCUCGGCAAGGCCAACCCCACCGAGUGGUCCAACUUCCGCCAAGUCGAUCCCGGCUGGAGCGCCCGCGGCGGCCAGACCCAGAAUCCGUACGUCCUGUCGGUGACACCGUGCGGGUCGAGCGCCGGGCCUGGCGUCGCCGCUGCGGCGAACAUGGCUGCCGUGACGCUGGGAUCGGAGACGGCCGGCUCCAUAAUCUGCCCGUCGGUGCUCAACUCCGUGGUUGGGAUCAAACCAACAGUUGGGCUGACCAGCCGGUCAGGCGUCAUCCCGAUCACGCCCAGGCAAGACACCAUAGGGCCAAUGUGUCGUACAGUAUCCGAUGCCGUCCAUGUCCUGGACGCCAUUGUCGGCUAUGAUGAGCUUGACGCUGAAGCGACUGGAGCAGCUUCCAAGUACAUCCCGCAUGGUGGUUACAGGCAGUUCCUGAGGAUCGACGGACUAAGGGGCAAGAGGAUUGGUGUCCUCAGGGGUUUCUUUGAGCAGUAUGCUCCUGAGCCCCGGAGGGUCUACGAGAAGCAUCUCAGCACAAUGAGGCAUCACGGCGCCAUCCUGAUAAAGGAUCUUGACCUCGCAGGGAAUUGGACCGAUCUCGGGGACCAAAUGGGCCUUCUGAUGAAUGCAGAGUUCAAGUUGAGCCUGAAUGCUUAUCUGAAGGACCUGCUGUACUCUCCGGUCCGCUCCCUCGCACAAGUCAUAGCAUUCAACAAUGCACAUCCAAAAGAGGAGAGGCUUAAAGAUUUUGGGCAGGCCGAUCUCAUUGCGGCCGAGAAGACCACCGGCAUCGGCGCAGCGGAGAGAGCUGCUCUCCGGCGGCUCAACGAGCUGUCCACGGGUGGCCUGGAGAAGACGGUGAAAGAGCACCGGCUGGACGCCGUCGUGGUGGCCAACAACGACAUCUCCGCCGUCCUCGCCAUCGGCGGUUGUCCCGGCAUCGCCGUGCCGGCCGGGUACAGCGAGGAGGGAGUCCCCUUCGGGAUAGUCUUCGGCGGGCUCAGGGGCUACGAGCCGAGGCUGAUCGAGAUGGCCUACGCGUUCGAGCAGGCUACCAAAGUCAGAAGGCCGCCUGCUUUCAGGCAUUAGCCUAGCCAGUAGUUGGUACUCUGCAUGGUAAUAAUCGGCCGCAUUCUUAAGUGAUGACCGAUGACCUAUGGAAGUUCAGAUCGUGCAUAUUGUUGGUGGUGGAUUCAUAUAGGGGUUAUUCGGAAUUGGGAUGACGGGUUUUGUGAAGAUUAUUUCCGCCCCUAAAAUCCAGUUCAAGUCCGGUAAAA